CUCUGCUGCGAGAUGGUGUGUGUGUGCGCGCACACCAGAGCCUCCCACCAGCUGGGGGCCCUGCCUGUCCGGACCACGGCAGGGGCGAUGUUGCCUGCGUCACCGGAUUGCUACAGUUGGUCGGCUGCUGUCUUGUCUUCCUUUAGUUUUGUUUGAUGUUUGAUUUACUAUUUUGUCUGUUACUUUUGGUUUGAUUGUCUUUGUCUGUCAUUCUUUUGUGAGCAGGCGGAGUGUUUUUAAUGGGGGGGGCUAGUCACCUGCUGGGGAACUGGUGUAACGGAGUGUUAACUGCGAGUUGCUUGCUGUGGAGAGCUGCACUACUGUGUGACACUUUCAUAGACUUGCUGUGUUUGGUAUUAGCCUGCCCCCUCAGGCAAGCUCUGCCUGUCUCCGUUAUUUGUUACCCCUCCCUCUGUUCGAAUGUCUGUGUUGUCUCUUUUGUUUAAUAAAUACUGUGUUUAAGGAA